GAGGCCUAUAAAAGGGCCUUUCCUCGCCACACUCUGCCAACCAUCCCUUUCCUUCUCCACGUAGCCGUGUCGACGUUUCGAGUUGGGUUUCCCCCCAAAGCCAAAGAAGAUGUCUUAUCAACAGACCCAGCAAUGCAAGCAACCUGCAGUUUGCCCACCGGCACCUUGUGUGACUCCAUGCCAGCCUUCAGAAUGUCCUAAGCCGUGCCCUCCUCCAGCGUGCCAGGUCUCUGGCGGGAGCACAUGCCAAGUUUCCGGUGGGAGCACAGGCCAAGUUUCCGGUGGGAGCACAUGCCACGGAUCUGGUGGCAGUCCUUGCCAAUCGGCCGAUCCAUGCCAAGGAACCACUGGAAGCCAGUCCCAAUGUCCAUCAGGCAAAGGCGAUAGCCAUCAGAACCAUCAUGACUCCCAACAGCACAAGCAAUGCUAGCUGCCACGGAAGAGUCAGACAUCUGCCGGUGGACCUCCUGAUGGCCCCUGGGUUUGGGGCCGCUGCGUGACGCAGAAUGUUGGACUGGAUGGGCCACUGGCCUGAUCCGACAUGGCUUCUCUUGUGUUCUUACAUGAAAGCGCAUGAAUAAAGGCUUCCGAUGCUUUCCUGA